AAUAAAUACGAUUGCAUUGCAUAUACUAACGAAUGUGAUCAUACCAGCACGAAUUCACUAGAUCCCAUCAGAACUCCGUUGUUAAGCUUGCUUGGGCGAGAGUGUACUAGUAUGGGUGACCUCUUGGUAAGUCAUCGUGUUGCAUCCCUCUAUUUUUUU
rnacentral:sRNA from 1 species